UAUUAACAAAGCAUUAUAUUAGAUAAACCUUUCCAGGCAUGGUGUCAGAAGUUCAGUCCGAGUUAUCUCAAAUCAGACAUUAUACCUUCACCACACAUUCCAUAUAAAUUUAGAGUGAUUGGACCAAUGUCUAAUACGCCACAAUUUUCCGAAGAUUUCCAGUGCAAGCCAAGUUCAAAAAUGGUUCGGAAGGUCACGUGCGAUAUUUGGUAGAAAACUCAACUGAACACCUGGCGAACUUGAGAAAGGAUUUUUCUCUGUAAUAGUACUAUUAGUGUAUGGAUAAUAUAUAUCUUAUGUAAAACUUCUAAAAAGUUUUACAAAUUUGAGUAAUAUUAUUUGUUCUAAUAAAAUGUGAAAAACCGUUUUUCAUCAC